AUGAGCUUAUUCCAACAAUCGUGUAUCUUGUUUAGACAUGAAAAACAAACAAAAAAAAAAAACAUUAAAAAAUUGACUAUUGAAAAAAAGAACAUGUUUGAUCCGCGAGCGCGAAAAUAUCCUGGGAUGGACAGAGUGGAGCCGGAUUGUCCUUCGAUCAGCAUACCUUUAUGCUGCCGCUUCCCAACAGACGGCCCAGUCAAAUUCUGGUUCCAAUCAUUUGGGGGUGUCAGGAAUAUCAGAACAACGCACGCACAAAUUCCAGAGCGAUUGUCCUGGUGCACAUGAUGACGGACAACACCGAAAGCAGCCAGGGAUCGAUGAGGGACGAUAACUUUGCCAUCAACAAGCGGGUGAAAAGCAGAUCAAUUGUCACGGAAGGAAGAUGAACAUCCGGUGGACCCCAAAAAUUUGGUUCUGCCUUUUCCACCGAUACUGGAAGUGCCUACAAAGUCCCACAGGUUUUUACGGUUACUGUAAACCGUUGUGACUGCAAAGAUGACUUUUCUCAGCAGGAAAAACCUAACUAAAUGGAAUCCAAAUUCCAGGUUUGUCAUUGCCGCCGAACCUCACUGGCAGAAAAAAAAAGUGCGGAAGCGUACCGUUCCUGGCCGCAGGAGUUCCUGCUUCCGGAGGAGAUGCUCUGGACAACACAGACUAGCCAUUUACGACGCAGAACGGUUUGUAUGCAGUAACCAGCAGUGC